UACGAAGGGGGCUAGCGUUGCUCGGAAUCACUGGGCGUAAAGGGUGCGUAGGCGGGUCUUUUAAGUCAGGGGUGAAAGACGGUUGCUCAACAAUCGCAGUGCCUUUGAUACUGGUGUUCUUGGGUAACCUUGAGGUAGGCGGAAUGGGUGGUGUAGCGGUGAAAUGCAUAGAUACCACCCAGAACUCCGAUUGCGAAGGCAGCCUACUGGAGGUCAACCGACGCUCAGGCACGAAAGCGUGGGGAUCAAACAGG
rnacentral:rRNA from 1 species